GAAAAAUUUGACUCCAGUGACAGGGCUCUGCUGCUCAUGUUUGUAUUUUAAUUUUUUUUUUUAGUUUAUCCUGAGAAAGCUUUUUUGAAAUUUUCCUAAUUUUUUUUCUUCUCUGUUUUCCGUUUUUAGGUAAAUUUAAAAUAUUUUACCCAGAUUAUAUGCGAGUACACGUACUUUAUGAUAAAGUUCGACAAGUCACAAUGUGCCAUACAAAAUUAAAAUAUAUUUUUUUUUUAAAUUAUAUUUUAUUGUGUUUCUGUAAUUUUUUUGUGGGGGGAGGAGGGAUUUUAAAUAUAUUAUGUAUUUUUUUUCGCGCGUUACAUUCACAACCCCAAUGAUAAAAUUUUUUUUUUCUUUUCGGUCGGAUUAUUAUUAUCAUUAAAAAAAAAAAAAGAAAAAAAAAAAUGUUUGUUAUCUUGUAAUUAAGCGCGCACGCAAAAGCUAUUUACAUAAUAAUAUUGUUACAUUAUAUUUUAAGGGUAACGGUUUCGUUUUAAUAAUAAAUAAUAUAUAUUUAUACAAAAUGGACACUGGUGCAGUGGACAGUGGUGGACACUGACACUGUAUAGCUGUAUAAUAGUAUAGUAACGACCGCCCCGGACGGGAUCAAAACGGUCAGGACGUGCUCGAACAGCAUCAUUAGUGAUGUUUUUUUUGCACAAUAUUCGAAAGUACAUACCUAAUAUAAUAUAUAUGUCCUUAUAUACUUAUAUAUAUAUAUAUAUAUAUAUGUAAUAUAUGUAUUACUAUUAUGUAUACGGCGACGUCGUUGGCAAUUUAAUAUUUCUAAACGGUCAUCGCGGAUAAGAGGGAAUAACGUCCUCGCGAACAAGAGACACGUACCUAAUAGAAGGUUCGUAUUUUGUUGGAUUCGUCCGUGAUUUUUUUUCCCCGCAUUGCCGAUCUUAUUGACUUGUACAAUACGUACACGCUGUACAGAGCGAUCCGUUCGUUACACAUUUUAUUUACAAAGGUACACGAGGAAUUUGACUUCGGUUAAUCUCGACAAUAUAAUAACGGCGGUAAUUAUUUAAGUUUCAGGGAAGUCUGAAAUAAUUAGACAAUUAAAUUUUAACUAGACCCUUCCAAAAAAAAAAA